AGUGAACGCUGGCGGUAGGCCUAACACAUGCAAGUCGGACGGCAGCACAGUAAGAGCUUGCUCUUACGGGUGGCGAGUGGCGGACGGGUGAGGAAUACAUCGGAAUCUACUUUUUCGUGGGGGAUAACGUAGGGAAACUUACGCUAAUACCGCAUACGACCUACGGGUGAAAGCAGGGGAUCUUCGGACCUUGCGCGAUUGAAUGAGCCGAUGUCGGAUUAGCUAGUUGGCGGGGUAAAGGCCCACCAAGGCGACGAUCCGUAGCUGGUCUGAGAGGAUGAUCAGCCGCACUGGAACUGAGACACGGUCCAGACUCCUACGGGAGGCAGCAGUGGGGAAUAUUGGACAAUGGGCGCAAGCCUGAUCCAGCCAUACCGCGUGGGUGAAGAAGGCCUUCGGGUUGUAAAGCCCUUUUGUUGGGAAAGAAAAGCAGCAGGUUAAUACCCCGCUGUUCUGACGGUACCCAAAGAAUAAGCACCGGCUAACUUCGUG
rnacentral:rRNA from 1 species